rnacentral:misc_RNA from 1 species
CGCACAUUGCGCCCCUUGGUAUUCCGGGGGGCAUGCUUGUUCGAGCGUCAUUAUGACCCCUCCAGCUUAGCUGGGUAUUGGAUCGCGCCUCCGGGCGGGUCUUAAAACUAGUGGCGGUGCUUUCAGGCUCUACGCGUAGUAAUUGUUCUCGCUAUGGAGUCCUGGGGGAUGCUUGCCAGCAAUCUCAACUUCUUCAGGUUGACCUCGAAUCAAGUAGGGAUACCCGCUGAACUUAA